rnacentral:rRNA from 1 species
GCUUACGGCCAUACCAACCUGGCUAUGCCCGAUCUCGUCUGAUCUCGGAAGCUAAGCAGGUUUGGGGCCUGGUUAGUACUUGGAUGGGAGACCGCCUGGGAAUACCAGGUGCUGUAAGCU